UAUCUGAUGCUUUUAAAAAGCGAGAAUUGGAAUUGGAAUCUCUUGCGAUUGAAUCAUGAAACAGAGAUCCAGCAGAUUUAAGGGAUAGUUUGAGCUUGGACUAAUAUUUCAAGCUUUACAAAAUCUCAUCUUCAGGACCAAAAAUUUAUUGAAACGUAAAAGCUAUACUCAUAUUUAUUGAAAGCGAAAGAAAUGCUUCUCUCCCUAUUCCACACAGGUGAUUUCUAAGUGACGAAAGUGCCAUAAUUUCCUGGAUUUUGUAUGUGUAAUCUGUGAUAAGAACCAUGGGGAUUCUCUUUGCAUUAUUUUAAAUAAAUGAACAGAAGGAAGAAAUUUUAAUUUGAAUGAUUUUUUUUGUAGCGACAAUAGCAAGAACUUUAAUAGCAAUUUAAACAAUUUUAUGUAUACUAGAAAGAUUUUGCUCGAUUAUUUCCUUUUUACUCAAGUGAGACAGGAUGUCAUCUCAAUAUAAAAAAAGGAGGAAAAAGCGCCUGCAACUGACACUAGAGCAUCGAACUGUGCAGAAAAUAUCCGAUGGCAUUUAUUAGAACAAUGGUAUAACAUAACUCUUAUGUGGAAUGAAUGCCCUUUCAGCUCCAGUCGUAAAGUAUCUGUACAUAAUAUGUAGAAGGUAUCUAGAUGUCCCGGAAUCAAAGUCAUCGAAGUAAUAUGGUUUAGGUAUUCUGUCAGACAAUUCAUGGCCAUAAAUGCAACUUUUCUGGCUAAAAGAUGUUGGUGCGUUUCGACCGAAGUGAUCAUGCCAUAACAUACAGCAUCUGAAGUUUCUAUUAAGCGCAAAUUGGAAUUUGGAGCCUUUGCAGUUAAUUAUGUAUGUCCGGAAAACAACUUAUGCGGUUGGUUUGUAAAGUUAUGAAAUGUAUAUUUACUACCAAAAAUGUAAUUUGCUUAAUGUGUAUUUACUAACAAAAAUUAUCAGUCUAUAUAGUGGAAAUGUUUUUACAAAUGUAAUAAUCGUUAUUUGAGGAUAUCAAAACAUC